UCUCUAGUAGUCCACUGGUUAAGACUCUGCAAUUCCAAUGCAGGGUCUUGGGUUCAAUCCCUGGUCAGGGAA
rnacentral:tRNA from 1 species